CUCCUACGGGAGGCAGCAUGGGGAAGUCUUGCACAAUGGGCGGAAGCCUGAUGCAGCGACGCCGCGUGAGGGAAGAAGGCUUUCGGGUUGUAAACCUCUUUCAGGUGGGACGAAGCUCCUCGGGUUAAUAGCCCAGAGGGUGACGGUACUGCCAGAAGAAGCCCCGGCUAACUACGUGCCAGGCAGCCGCGGUAAUAC
rnacentral:rRNA from 1 species